AGAGUUUGAUCCUGGCUCAGAUUGAACGCUGGCGGCAUGCUUUACACAUGCAAGUCGAACGGCAGCACAGGGAGCUUGCUCCCGGGUGGCGAGUGGCGCACGGGUGAGUAAUACAUCGGAACGUGUCCUGUUGUGGGGGAUAACUGCUCGAAAGGGUGGCUAAUACCGCAUGAGACCUGAGGGUGAAAGCGGGGGAUCGCAAGACCUCGCGCAAUUGGAGCGGCCGAUGCCCGAUUAGCUAGUUGGUGAGGUAAAGGCUCACCAAGGCGACGAUCGGUAGCUGGUCUGAGAGGACGACCAGCCACACUGGGACUGAGACACGGCCCAGACUCCUACGAGGCA
rnacentral:rRNA from 1 species